rnacentral:rRNA from 1 species
UUAAAAAGCUCGUAGUUGGAUUUCGGAGUGGGCCAGUUGGUCCGCCGCAAGGUGUGUUACUGACUGGUUUGCUCUUCUUCGCAAAGACUGCGUGUGCUCUUUGUUGAGUGUGCGUAGGAUUUACGACGUUUACUUUGAAAAAAUUAGAGUGUUCAAAGCAGGCUAUUGCUUGAAUACAUGAGCAUGGAAUAAUGGAAUAGGACUUUGGUCCCAUUUUGUUGGUUUCUAGGACCGAAGUAAUGAUUAAGAGGGACAAUUGGGGGCAUCCGUAUCUCGUUGUCAGAGGUGAAAUUCUUGGAUUUACGUAAGACGAACAACUGCGAAAGCACUUGCCAAGAGUGUUUUCAUUAAUCAAGAACGAAAGUUAGAGGAUCGAAGACGAUCAGAUACCGUCCUAGUUCUAACCAUAAACGAUGUCGACUAGGGAUCAGCGGGCGUUAUCGUACGACCCCGUUGGCACCUUACGGGAAACCAAAGUUUCUGGAUUCCGGGGGAAGUAUAGUCGCAAGGCCGAAACUUAAAGGAAUUGACGGAAGGGCACCACCAGGAGUGGAGCCUGUGGCUCAAUUUGACUCAACACGGGAAAACUUACCAGGUCCAGACAUAGUUAGGAUUGACAGGUUGAGAGCCCUUUCUUGAU